ACAUUUUCUUAUACAGUUUCUGUGGCAUCAUUGUUUUAUGGACACAUUUUUUUGGUUUUGUUUGCUAUGUUGCCAGUCAUACCAAUACUAUUAAGUUAUAAUUAAGGAUAUUUUCCAGUUUUUUUCAGCACAGAAGAUAUCAUGUGCCCUCUUAAGCAUUAUUUUAAGCACAAGGGGGCACCUGACUGGAGCAACUGACUUUCCUUAAGCAAAUUUGUAGGAUGAGAAGCAUUCAUGUUCUUUAUUUAGUGAACUCACUUAGUGACUUGAUUUAAAGAAUGAUGUAAUUUAUAUUUUCCGGGACUGAUGGAGUGCAUAAAGAAGAAAACUAGAGAUCAAUUGCAGCAGACUGUAGGCGACUGUUAUUUUGGAGUUGUUUGCAUUUCAUUAAAUGAUAAUUCUUGACUUUCAAACAGCUCAGAUGAUACUGUAGAAUGCUCCAUGGAGGACUGUUUUCUGAUUACCCUUUACCAGAAGAAGAUGUCAAUAACUUUGGACAGACAGCUCACUAAAUACUGUAGAGUGAUGAUAGAUGGACACUAUUUAGUUGAACAAAGAAAAAAGGGAAACCUAUCCUAGCAGAUACAGAUCUGAUAAAGAUGACAGAAACUACAUAUAUACAUGACAGUCAUAGGAUGGGACUUAAGUGCUGACUGUGAGAUGCAAGGUAUUUCAAUAAAGAUGUGCAGUAUUAAUCCUGAAAAGGAAACAUACUUCAAACUAUAGAUGUGUAAUAGAAGAACAGACAUUGUGCAUAUAUUAUCUCUUGGAAGUGUCAAUCACCAACUUUACAUUGUGUUGUGAACAUUUAAAAUUAACCUGCUGAAUUUUUCAUGUAAUUUUUUCAAUAAAUCAGUUUUCAUUCUAGUUAAGUUAGGGGGAAAGUUGAGUGAAGAGUUGAGUGAUGGGUUAAGGGGAGAGCAGAUUUGAGUAGAGUUAACUGGGAGAAUAAAGUGGAGUUUAGGUUACUGGGAGUGUUUAGUUGAGGUUAUAGGGAGAGUUAAGUUGAGAUUACAGGGAGAGUUAAGUUGAGGUUACAGGGAGAGUUGAGUUGAGAUUACUGGGAGAUUUGAGUUGAGUUUACGGGGAGAGUUGAGUUGAGAUUAUGGGAGAGUUGAGUUGAGAUAACAGGGUGACUUGAGUUGAGAUUAUGGGGAGAGUUGAGUUGAGGUUACGGGAAGGGUUAAGUUAAGAUUACAGGGAGAGUUGAGUUAAGUUGAGAUUAUGGGCAGAGUUGAGGUAAGGGUGGAGAGUUCAGUUCAGUUCAGAUUAUGGGGAGAGUUGAGAUGAGAUUAUGGGAAGAGUUGAGUUGAGUUUACAGGGAGAGUUGAGUGGAUUUUAGAUUAGGGAGAGAGUAAAGUUCAGAUAAGAGUACCAGUGGCGGAUUCAGGGCUGCAGCCCCCCACCCCCAGCUUGGCCCUAAGAUAUGUUUACCAGCUGGGCUGGAACAUAUUUUUUGUCAGUUUCAAUCUUUAUUGGCUGUAGUGUACUCCCUUAUCAAAACAUUUAUUGCUGUCAUCCAGUUCUUAAUCUCCUGCCUGGGGGCUUGGCAGAGGGGUAAAGAUCUUUAUCUAUCAACAUGCUUGACUGACUUCAAUGUUUAAACUGCAUAAUUGAUUGGUUAAUUACUUUCCAAAGGUCUAAUGAAAAAUAGAUAUGUUAAAAAGUAUACCAUAUUAAACUACCUUUUUUUUCAUUUUCUGAAGGAAAACCCUACUGUAUAUAUAAUUAAUAAAUUGAAA